UGUACAGACCUCGCUAAGUCCCACUAAGAUGUCGUUUUAGUCGUACAAGGAUGAACCUCCCCUGCGUCCCGUCCUAGUCCUAAGAUGUCUUUGAGUCUUACAAGGAUGAACCUCCCCUGCGUCCUAAGAUGUCUUUGAGUCGUACAGGGAUGACAGUCUGAUGUCUUUCAGUCGUAUAUACAGAUCUCCUAUGAGUCAUUUGAUAUAUAAAAUUUCCAUUAAUAAUCUACUUUAGGACAUUGCUCAUUUCUGUGAUCAAUGCAUGCAUUUUAGAAGCAUGAUUAGAUUUUUCAGCAUCUUGUGGUGUUUAUUCGAUUACCGUUACUUUCGUUUACACAACGAUCCCACUGACGGUGAGGAACCUGAGUACGAGGUUGAGCCAGGAGUAGAGGUUAAGCAUGGCAAGUGCCCUCCUGUAGCUAGCUGCAUUAUCUAUCGGAGUAUCUGUAUCGUGUAGUAACUAGCUGAAUGCCCAUGCGUUGCAUCGGGAUUUUAAGAAACUAGCUGUGCCCCCCGCGCGAUGCGCCGACAUCAUCCAAGAUAAUCUUAAUCAUAAAAGAAAAAUCAUAAUAAUAAAAAAUAAGCAUGAUUGAAAACAACAUAGCACAUAACAGAGCUACACAAUAAUAAUAAUAAUAACUCGAUCAGAAAGAGAAUAUCACGAUGUUCUCAAUUUUGAGUGAUUUAAUUGGACCAUAAUAUUUUUUAUAUAAUCAAUGUUACACGAACAACGGGUAUCUCGGUGCAUAAUACAAUUACAUCAACAAAAAUAAAAUAAACAACAUUAGUAUUUCAAUACCUAGCAGAGUAGCAGUUCCCAGGAAGACCAAUCAGUGGGCGAUGAUUAAUUUGGAAGGAUAGUCAAACAAAACUAUGUCCACAGCACAUCACAGUUGUGCCCCCUGCGCAUUGCGCGGGCAUAUGAGGCAACCUAUAAUAACUCAAGAUCAGAAUUGGGCAUAUCACAAGAUAACAUGCAACACUGUUCCACAGUAAUAGCGCAAUAUCAAAAAGGGCAUAUAAUCUAACAAUGUUCUCAGUUUUGAAGUGAUGUAAUCAAACCAAAAGUUUUUUUAAGAGCAAUCUUACACUAACAAACAUGGAUCUCGGUACAUAGUAGACAACAUUCUUAAUUCGAUACCAGCAGAUCCUAGGAAAAACGAAUCCUUGGGCGAUGAUUAAUUUGGAAGGACAACGGACAUCACAUCAUAGAUAUGGCAGUGGCAACUCAUAUUGUAUAUGUUUUACAAUCUAUACAAAUUGGCCAUUAGCAAUAACAAAUAGAAAUUAAGGUUUACUGCUCCAUGACCCAGAACCAGUGAUUUUAUAGCCAAUUCUGGAGAUAUGAGAGUUCAGUAUUCUCGCCAGCUUGUCAUUAAUUAGCAUCGAUCUAUUUUAGCCACCAAUAAGAAAAGGAAAAUACAUCCACAUUUUAACCUUGAUGAAGAGCAUGCAUAUCCCACACUGUACAAACAACAAAGCAUAAUUUCAACAGAAUAAAACAGUUUCUAAUUUCCUAAAGCAUGCUGAGUAAUAUAGCAUCAGUAUAUAAUAGCAUGAGAAAGUUGAAAUUACCCGGACUGGCGGUCACAAAAGCAUCAGUGGAAGCCUGUAGGAAGCCAUAAACCCAUGAGCUAUAUAAAAUACGCAACAAACCACUAAAAUGCCAUCACAAUAUUCAGUUAUCGUGUUAGCUAAGGUCCAAUGUUUGCCUCAUAUUGUGGUCUCUGCCAUGCGCCCAUGCCUGAAAACGAAAAUGGAUGAAAGUGGUCACUGAGAUGCUGCCAAAUAUAAAUAUUGACCCAUGCAAAAAUAUAUGCUACAGUUUAGCCGAAUACCGGUUUAUAUGAUAAAAAAUAGAGUAGGGAAGGUCGUUUAUCAAAACAACUAAUUAAAUAAUGAUCAUGCAUAGGGAUAUAACAAUUGGACAACAAAUAAGACUUCCCAAGGAACUACCCAAAAAACUGAAAUAAUACCAGGCAAUAACAGGUAGAGAAACCCUAAAGAGCAAUUGCCAAGUAGCUGGAAGCCUUGAACUUGAAAUAUGAAAAACAUAGAAAUUAGCAAACGAAGCCACUCAAAGAAGCAAGUACACUAUUAGAAAAUAAAAAAAGAUAAAUGAAACGAAAUAUGCCCAUGUGUUGUUGUGGAUGAUUGAAAAAUCGUAUAGAUAUAUUUGAGAUAGGAUGAUGGCACAUAAAUAUGUAGCUAGGUAUUUAAACAAAAGGAGAGGGAAACUGUGUUGCAUAUAUCUGUUUUAGUAGUAACUGAGCUACUCAUCAUAUAGUAUUGGGAUCACAUGUACCAAAACAAAAUAAAGUUACAUACCUGAGGCAAGGAAAAUAGAAUAUGCAUUUAAGCGUAUGGCAGGAUGAUAUGAAAAAUAGCUUUUAAGCAAUACUACACUACAACAGGAAGCAAGUGGAUUUGACAAACUUUGGUAGAGAUAGGACAGUACUCUUCAUCAACUUUACAUUGAAAUCAUCCAUGCAUUUCUUGGGCAUAGAACAAUGGCCAUGUAAAUUAUCAAUGGUAGAGUAAAGGAUGGUGAAAUAAAUUAAUUGGACAACAUAAUGAUAAAAGGGGAUCAGGGAGCUGACGAACCACUGUCCUGGAUUAAAAUGAAGAUAUGCAAGGAAAAUAAAUAAAAUAUUCAUUAGAUAUUGAUGCCAGACAUUAAUAUUGUUUUGGCAAUGAGAAGUGGCCAAACGGCAACAAUCGGAGGACUUCUUUUUAUUGAAAAAUCGUAUGACUUCUGGCUGGAUGGGCCUAGCCCAAACCUGAAUCAAGAUUAGGGCCUAAUCCAGAUAGAAAAUAAUGGGGAGAUCAUACCUCACUGUCCCAAGGAAGGUGACGGCAGCACAAUGGCUAGAAGAACACUUGCUCCACUCCAUAGCUUGUACCCAAACCCUAACUGACUCACAAGAUAUGUCAUCCAAAUUGACGCUGCAAAGGAUAGAAGCAAGGAUGCUGAAGAUGGAGAAGCAGAUUGAGUUAGGGCUUGGCUUGCUCUGCUCUACUCCAUACCCAUACCCUAACUACAGAUAGAUUCAUCACAAAAUAAGUCAUCCAAAUUGAUCACUGCAAAGGAUAAAAGCAAGGUUGCUGAAGAUAAGAAGCAGAUCAGGCUAGGGCUUGGCUUACCAGACUGCACAUGUUGUCAACACCGUGCAAAGAGGUGGACGAAGGCAACUAUGGCAGCGGGCGUGCACCCUUCGUCCACCUUGAGAAAUUGGCCGGUCGAGCAAGCGAAUCAAGCGGAACGGUGGCGGCGCUUGCAGGUGGCUCGCAAGAAGGCGACGACCCCGGCCGCUAGCUCCGCAAGAAGGUGGCGGCGGCGGGCUUCGCGACUCGCGAGGGGAAGAUGAAGAUUUGAGUAUUUUGGGAAGGGAGGCGCAGAGGAUGUCGAGGAUCGAGGGGAUUGGGGAAGCUAUGCCGGGCGCAGCGAUGUGCAUGUGAGGCGUGGACGGUUGGAUCAAAUCAACGCGUGGACAUCGGAAGGUGCAUGCUGGGUGAUGAACUGUAGUACUGUAGCAUCUUUUCCUGGGCUGAGGUUGAUCAAAUCACUGCUAGUAGUGGGUUGUAAAAACUAAGGAUUUAAUAUGAUAACCCAUCAAACAUGGUAAAACCCAAAAAAAAAUAUUUUCACUGUAAUUAUCAGAUUAUAUCUAGCAUAAUUUUAGACAUGUAUGUCAAACUACAUAAUUGUUCGUAGGGAUGAACAAUAUAUUGGACAUGAAUUAUCUAUAUUUCUAAACUAUUGUAUAUGAUAUGCUAGUCCUCGGGAAGAAAAAGUAUUUUUAAUAUUUGGUUGAGAAUUUCCCUUUACUUAUUUCAGUCUAUAAGAAAGUUUUCUACGACACCCAUAUAUUCACAUGGAGUGAUGGAGGCCAUCAUCCAUUUGUCUCCAGAAGCAGAUCGACAGAAUAAACACCAGAAAAACCAACCUACUAUUGCACAAGGCAUAGAAGCCCAUGAACAGCCCAGCAGCCCAUCGACAUUCCUAACCCUGACUGCUAACUGCCUAACUCCAACCCCGGUCCACUCAUUGCCCCACGCGGCCACGCCCGCACUCGUUCCCCAUUCACAUCGCACACACGCCACGCCGCUUUGGAUCCGGCUCCGUGGCCAGCACCCGCAUCGCCGCGGCGCGCGCCAACGGUGGCGCCGACCUGGCCGUCUUCGAGCAGUUCGAGCGGCUGGUGCGCCCACCCUUCUCUAUCCCCCCUCUCGUCGACGGAUCCCGCCGCCUGUCCGCGACGGGUUCGAGCAGCGGGCGAAGCAAGAGCAGCGGCGGCGGUGAGCUCGGGCGUCAGCGGCAUGCAACCGUGAAGGUCCGCCGGCGUCGGCGAUGGGAAGGGCGGAACCGGCACCCCCUCCCUGCAGGCUGCUCGUAUUUCGCCACCUCUCCGCCCCACACGCACGCGGCCGGAUCCUUUCCCCCUCUCACCGACAAUGUGGGCCCACAAGUCAGCAUGGCAGUUGUGGGAACGGACACCACGGUUGCUGUCUUUUUAAGAUGGUAUAGAUAAUAAUAUAAGUACGCCCUGGCCUGCAGAUCGAACCGUUAAUUUAAUUUACAGCUGCUUCUGUAGAGUAGUGGUGUGCUCAUCCCUCUUGCUUAGGCAUUAACCACGCCUGAAUAUACAUACGCGCAUGUACUCCUAUCUUGUACAAAUACUAAUUACUGCAUGUAAAAGAUGUAACACUACUGCAGUGAUAAUGUUCAGAAAUCACUAGUGGCACUGCUAUUGUUAUUCCUGUUCAGUGUAUUGAUUGUUCUUUAACAGAUUUUUUUUUCGAAAUAUAUAAUCAAAAUACUGCAAUGGCCAAAUGAUCGGAGAUAAAAUUGGGUAAUGUAUAAUCUUUGCAACAAGAGCACUGUGUACCACAUUUAGAGCAGGUACAAUAGCAGGUUAUAAGCUAGCUAUAAACAUAUUUUAAACAGAUAAAGGAAGAGAGAGAGAAGAGCAACGGGCUACAGAUCUAUAGCCAGCUGCAGCACGGACUCCAAAACGUAAUGUGUGUAUGAUAGGUGGGACCAGAUAUUAAUAGUAUAGUAAGCAACUAUUGUAUGAAUUGGCUAUUACAUUGACUAUAGAUGAUUUGAAGCUAGUAGUGGGCUAUACUAUUAAACUUGCUCUUAUAGUGUUCCUUAGAGCAGGUACAAUAGCAAACAUAUUUUAAGGAGAUAAAUAAGGAGAGAGAAGAGCAGCGGGCUACAGAUUUGUAGCCAGCUGUAGCACGGACUCCAAGACGCAGUGUGUGUAUGACAGGUGGGACUAAGUAUUAAUAGUGUAGUAUGUAACUAUUGUAUGGAUAAGCUAUUAGAUUGGCUAUAGAUAAAUUAGAGCUAGUAGUUGGCUAUACUAUUAAACUUGCUCUUAGUAUGAUCUAAAGAGCAUUGUGUACCACAUUUAUAGUCAUUGUUCACUUGUUUCAAAUAAUUCUCCAAUACGGACCGGUCUCAAACUGAACACUCGAGAUGAAAAUUAGUCUGCACUUGCUGACAGUUUUGGCAGACUAGAGUUUAUACUUCAUGUAUACUCAUCUGUUGCUUUUUCUUCAAGGACAAUUGAAUACUGUAUGUUUUUAUUUGAUUUUUAAUCCAUCAAUCAUGCAUGAAAGCGACUACGGGUAUUCUUUAACUCCAACCGUGUCAUUCAUGCAUGCAACAAGGAUGACAGUUUGAUGUUUUUAAGUCGUACACAUAACAGUGAAGAUAACAGUGUAUGCGUCUGUUUCUUCAAGCAAGGAGCACAUCGCAAACAUUCUUUUCACUUUCCAAGUAUCUCACAUAGCAAACUCAAAACAGGUUGCACUAGCGAAGUCUAAAUACACAACAAAACCCAAACUUCUCCUAGGGUAUCCCAAAAUGAGAGUUUAAGUACUUCAUGAAGCUGCUACCAUCACAUUUUAAUCACAUAAAAUACAACAUCAGUGAUUGCUCCAAAUGACGAACUAUAGCCUUCUGUGACUGAAAAGGAUAACCAAUAAUUAAUAAGAUGGCACUACUAGCUCCAUAGUAAACAAGUAUUUGCAGAACACAGUAAACAAGUAUGCAAAACCGCAGUGGAUAACAACCAAAUUUUCCCUUCUGUACAACAUCUAUGAAAGCAUUGUAGCAAAAACUAGACAGGAAAGUUGUAGAUACAGAUUCAACAAGCAAGUCCAAGAAGAGAUGCUUAUAUACGAAUAUCAAGCAGUUGUCCUUAUCAAUUAUAAAAACUUCAAAAGGAACAGACACCUCAAUUGCCAAUUGAUCAUCAGAAUUUAACAGUAACAAAAAAGAGAGGGCAUGGAACCAGGGAGAUGAUAAGCAAUGGUGAUUGCAGUGAAUGCUGUAAAUUCAGGAUUGCAGUACACAAGAAGCCCUGCUCCAUCUCUACUUCUCAUCAUACACAGAUGCAUGUCUUUUUUUGAGGGAUACACAGAUGCAUGUCUCUGCAACAAGUCUGCCACUUCACAUGUUAUGCUUUUCAACAAGACAGUUAUGCUUGGAACAACAAUAAAGAAAUUAGUGCAGUACAACCCAACCUGUCUUCACACUCUAAGAAUUGGCAAAUUAGUCCAAAUUAACCAAUUUUGGGAUCAAGGUAAAGCAAUAAGAUGUUAUAGGCAUCACAUUUUAAUUACUGAAGCGGUUCUAUUAUACCAAAUGUCAAGUUUAGUAGUGAAGCUUGGUGUGAAAAAUUCUAUAGGCUCAGUAAUUUUAAAUGAAAAUAGAUAUUGAAAUGAAAGUGACUCAGCUUGUAAGAUGACAAAAACUGCUCAAAUAGAAGCCUCACAUGAUGUCCUUCAGCAUCAACUGCUGCAUAUCAGGAGAUCCACUAGAUUUUCACUUCAGCUAGCUGUAACUGCCUAGCUCCCGCUUUGCAGCCUCAACAAUUACAAGCAUAUUAUAUGGUAUUGAAUCUUUUUUCACCUAUCCUAAAGCCAAAUUGUGAAUUUGCAAUGGCAGUACCUGCAGUACUACUUAAAAUGUUUGCACCCAAAUAAUCAAAAUUUUGGAAUCCUAAACUAGGAUAAAUAGAUCAUCAUGCUUAACAGAGAAAAGAGGCACAAAUGGAUGGACGGUUUCCAGGAGAAGCUUAACAGCGUGGCAAAUUUCCUGGAGGAGAUGAACAGCGUAGUGAGUUUAGUGAAGAAGCAGCGGAUCAACGACCCCAGCAUGAUGAACUGGUCGCUGCAGCUCAAGGACGCUAUCGACAAGGUGGAGUUUACAAGAACAGCAAGAACAACAAGAAUAGCCAAAGAAUCGCCUUGUGCUCUCCUCCGCCUCUUCUUCUCCGAGGGCGCCACGCCGGUGGCGGCGUGGCGCCGUGGGCGAGGGCGAUGGGCGGCGGCUGCAGAGUGGAUGCGCCGACGCUAUGCUGCGACCGGGAGCGGUGCUCGAUGGGAUGGCGGCGACGACAGGAAAGGGAGAAGAGAAGGAAACCCUAACCCUAGAUUUGGAAGAGGAGGGGAGAGGAGGAAAGGCAGCGUGCUCACCGGAGAGAAGGUGGCGGCCGGAUGAGAGAGCCGUGCUGUCGCCGUCGCUGUCGCCGUCGGGUCGCGCCGCGCGCCGCUCCCGCCGCCGCCUCCUCUCGAGGUUUUUUUCCACACCUCGGGACUAGAUGAUUUAUUCCCGGGCCGGGGCGCAG
rnacentral:lncRNA from 1 species